GAUGUCCUACGGGAGGCAGCAGUGGGGAAUAUUGCACAAUGGGCGAAAGCCUGAUGCAGCAACGCCGCGUGAAGGAAGACGGUCUUCGGAUUGUAAACCUCUGUCUUUGGGGAAGAAAAUGACGGUACCCAAAGAGGAAGCUCCGGCUAACUACGUGCCAGCAGCCGCGGUAAUACGUAGGGAGCGAGCGUUGUCCGGAAUUACUGGGUGUAAAGGGAGCGUAGGCGGACGAGAAAGUUGAAUGUUAAAUCUACCGGCUUAACUGGUAGCUGCGUUCAAAACUUCUUGUCUUGAGUGAAGUAGAG
rnacentral:rRNA from 1 species